ensembl:snoRNA
UGCACACACUAACCCAAAGGUCAUUUCUUCCCAGUGUCAUGCCCUUGCCAUGUGUGCGAAAAGAAACCCGGAACCUUGUCGCCUUUCAUAGGCUGUGAAACGUGCCACUGAAAGUGAAAUUCAAGGUGCAACACGA